rnacentral:rRNA from 1 species
AUACGAAGGAUGCGAGCGUUAUCCGGAUUUAUUGGGUUUAAAGGGUGCGUAGGCGGUUUUAUAAGUCAGCGGUGAAAUUUUCCGGCUCAACCGGGAUACUGCCGUUGAUACUGUAAGGCUAGGAUAUGGUUGCUGUGGGUGGAAUGUGUGGUGUAGCGGUGAAAUGCUUAGAGAUCACACAGAAUAUCGAUUGCGAAGGCAGCUCACAAAGCCAUUAUUGACGCUGAGGCACGAAAGUGUGGGGAUC